rnacentral:misc_RNA from 1 species
AAGUCGUAACAAGGUCUCCGUUGGUGAACCAGCGGAGGGAUCAUUACUGAGUGUUACAACUCCAAACCCACUGUGAACUUACCUUCUGUUGCCUCGGCGGGAUCAGCCCCGGCGCUCAGCGCGCUGGAACCAGGCCCCCCGCCGGAGGACCCCAAACUCUUGUUUUUUUCAGUUUCUUCUGAGUGGCUUCUUAGCACAAAAUAAAUCAAAA